rnacentral:rRNA from 1 species
UACGUAGGGUGCAAGCGUUAAUCGGAAUUACUGGGCGUAAAGCGUGCGCAGGCGGUUGUGCAAGACCGAUGUGAAAUCCCCGGGCUUAACCUGGGAAUGGCAUUCGAGACUGCAUUGCUAGAGUAUGGGAGAGGGGAAGUGGAAUUUCCGGUGUAGCGGUGAAAUGCGUAGAUAUCGGAAGGAACAUCAGUGGCGAAAGCGACUUACCUGGACCAAUACGUGACGCUCAUGUGCGAAAGCGUGGGGAGCAAACAGGAUUGAGAAACCCUGG